AGCAGUGCGGCUCAGUGGAAAGAGCCCGGGCUUGGGAGUCUGAGAAUUCGGGUUCUAAUCCCGGCUCUGCCA
rnacentral:tRNA from 1 species